rnacentral:rRNA from 1 species
UACGGGGGGGGCAAGCGUUGUUCGGAAUUACUGGGCGUAAAGGGCUCGUAGGCGGCCAAUUAAGUCACACGUGAAAUCCCUCGGCUCAACCGGGGAACUGCGUGUGAGACUGGAUGGCUUGAGUGUGGGAGAGGAAUGCGGAAUUCCAGGUGUAGCGGUGAAAUGCGUAGAUAUCUGGAGGAACACCGGUGGCGAAGGCGGCAUUCUGGACCAUUACUGACGCUGAGGAGCGAAAGCCAGGGGAGCAAACGGG